rnacentral:rRNA from 1 species
AUGGCCGCCAACGGCCAGCCGCCGGUGCCGGUGCCGGUGCCGGUGGUGGUCACCAACAUCGACCACCACCCGGCGCCCCUACUCGGCCUCUUCUUCAACUCACCGAUUCCACUUGUCCCUCACAAUGGCUUCCCCUGCAUCCCCGCCUUCGCCCCCGCCCACCGAAACAAUCCGGAGCUCGUGGCCGCCAUCUUGAGCGGCGACUUCUUCCUCACCACCCUCCAGGCGCGCGACCACCCAGAAGCUUUCUGGUUCGUCUUAGACGCCCGUGGCGGCUACCUUCUCCUCAAAGGGGGCGGGCUAUUGCUCGCGCUGCUAAACCCAUUGGCACGGCGGUGCGAGCGGAUCUUUGAUCUGAGUCACGCCCACAUCUUCGACGACGACCGCCAAGGAGAUGGUAAAAUCCUUCACGCCGGGGUGAUCUGCGAUGACGAAAACCCCGCGAGCUUUGGCAUCUUCUGUCUUGCUGCCCAUGGAGAGUUCAGGUUGCGGGCUGCGGUCUUCUCCUCAUCCUUGGGAAUGGGCGAUUGGUUCCUCUCCCCAUGGUUGGAUGUCCCGCACCCCGACCCGGAAGAUGAACUUUUGCUUGAGAGCGGCAUGCGAGUGGGUAAUUUCAUCUACUGGCCUCACCAGGAUCGUGCGUAUGUGGUUGUCUUGGACCCCGACCCAAACAACCCGCGAUUGUUUGUUGAGAUGAUCCCACCUCUCCUGAAUCUGGAAGGUUUUCACAGCUCGAUCCUUGGCCAAAUUAACGGCGAUAACAUGUGCAUUGCUUAUUCAAAUGGAUUCAACAUCGGUUUCAUGCUACGUCAAGAAGAUGGCCUUGAUGCUGGGGCAUGGGCUAACAUCAGGGUAUUCAACCUGGCUGAUCCAGUUAAUGCUAAGAUUGCGCAAUCACCCGAGAAUAGCCUGAAAAUUGCGGCAAUGCGGGGUAGCAUCCUGUACCUGACAACAACAGCGAUGUUCACGCCCCUGGCCGUUUCUUGGUUCGCUUGUCUGUGCUUGGAAAGUGGCAGGCUGGAGUGGUUGUUUCGGAGGACGUAUGAUGGUUUCUUCCAGCCAUACCACCAUUCGUAG